CAGCCGCCGCGGUAAUACGAAGGGUGCAAGCGUUAAUCGGAAUUACUGGGCGUAAAGCGUGCGCAGGCGGUUAUAUAAGACAGAUGUGAAAUCCCCGGGCUCAACCUGGGACCUGCAUUUGUGACUGUAUAGCUAGAGUACGGUAGAGGGGGAUGGAAUUCCGCGUGUAGCAGUGGAAUGCGUAGAUAUGCGGAGGAACACCGAUGGCGAAGGCAAUCCCCUGGACCUGUACUGACGCUCAUGCACGAAAGCGUGGGGAGCAAACAGGAUUAGAUACCCGUGUAGUCCCUGUCUCUUAUAU
rnacentral:rRNA from 1 species